AGUGAACGCUGGCGGUAGGCCUAACACAUGCAAGUCGAACGGCAGCACAGGAGAGCUUGCUCUCUGGGUGGCGAGUGGCGGACGGGUGAGGAAUACAUCGGAAUCUACUUUUUCGUGGGGGAUAACGUAGGGAAACUUACGCUAAUACCGCAUACGACCUACGGGUGAAAGCAGGGGAUCUUCGGACCUUGCGCGAUUGAAUGAGCCGAUGUCGAUUAGAUAGUUGGCGGGGUAAAGGCCCACCAAGGCGACGAUCCGUAGCUGGUCUGAGAGGAUGAUCAGCCACACUGGAACUGAGACACGGUCCAGACUCCUACGGGAGGCAGCAGUGGGGAAUAUUGGACAAUGGGCGCAAGCCUGAUCCAGCCAUACCGCGUGGGUGAAGAAGGCCUUCGGGUUGUAAAGCCCUUUUGUUGGGAAAGAAAUCCAGCUGGUUAAUACCCGGUUGGGAUGACGGUACCCAAAGAAUAAGCACCGGCUAACUUCGUGCCAGCAGCCGCAGUAAAAC
rnacentral:rRNA from 1 species